UACGUAGGUGACCAGCGUUGUCCGGAUUUACUGGGCGUAAAGAGCGCGCAGGCGGUCGUUCAAGUCGCGUGUGAAAGCCCCCGGCUCAACUGGGGAGGGUCACGCGAUACUGAUCGACUCGAAGGCAGGAGAGGGUAGUGGAAUUCCCGGUGUAGUGGUGAAAUGCGUAGAUAUCGGGAGGAACACCAGUGGCGAAGGCGACUACCUGGCCUGUUUCUUGACGCUGAGGCGCGAAAGCUAGGGGAGCAAACGGGG
rnacentral:rRNA from 1 species